GAUGAAGAACGUAGCGAAAUGCGAUAAGUAAUGUGAAUUGCAGAAUUCAGUGAAUCAUCGAAUCUUUGAACGCACAUUGCGCCCGCCAGUAUUCUGGCGGGCAUGCCUGUCUGAGCGUCAUUUCAACCCUCAUGCCCCCGGCUUGUGUUGGGGACCUGCGGCUGCCGCAGGCCCUGAAAACCAGUGGCGGGCUCGCUAGUCACUCCGAGCGUAGUAAUACAUCUCGCUCAGGGCGUGCUGCGGGUUCCGGCCGUUAAAAGCCUUAUUUACCCAAGGUUGACCUCGGAUCAGGUAGGAAGACCCGCUGAACUUAAGCAUAUCAAUAAGCGGAGGA
rnacentral:misc_RNA from 1 species